rnacentral:tRNA from 1 species
GCCGCGGUGGCGGAACUGGUAGACGCGCGAGACUUAAAAUCUCGUGACAGCAAUGUUGUGUGGGUUCGAUUCCCACCCGCGGCA